rfam:Puccinia sorghi strain RO10H11247 Scaffold_1266, whole genome shotgun sequence.
GACAAUUUGGCCGAGUGGUUAAGGCGAUUGACUCGAACCCUUGUGACUCGGUAUCAAUUGGGAUCUCCCGCGCAGGUUCAAAUCCUGCAGUUGUCG